UACGUAGGUGGCGAGCGUUGUCCGGAUUUACUGGGCGUAAAGGAUGCGUAGGUGGUAACUUAAGUGGGAUGUGAAAUCCCCGGGCUCAACCCGGGAACUGCAUUCCAAACUGAGUAACUAGAGUGCAGGAGAGGAAAGCGGAAUUCCUAGUGUAGCGGUGAAAUGCGUAGAUAUUAGGAGGAACACCAGUGGCGAAGGCGGCUUUCUGGACUGUAACUGACACUGAGGCAUGAAAGCGUGGGGAGCAAACAGGAUUAGAAACCCCCGUAGUCC
rnacentral:rRNA from 1 species